GACGAACGCUGGCGGCGUGCCUAAUACAUGCAAGUUGAGCGCUGAAGGUUGGUACUUGUACCAACUGGAUGAGCAGCGAACGGGUGAGUAACGCGUGGGGAAUCUGCCUUUGAGCGGGGGACAACAUUUGGAAACGAAUGCUAAUACCGCAUAAAAACUUUAAACACAAGUUUUAAGUUUGAAAGAUGCAAUUGCAUCACUCAAAGAUGAUCCCGCGUUGUAUUAGCUAGUUGGUGAGGUAAAGGCUCACCAAGGCGAUGAUACAUAGCCGACCUGAGAGGGUGAUCGGCCAAAAUGGGACUGAGACACGGCCCAAACUCCUACGGGAGGCAGCAGUAGGGAAUCUUCGGCCAUGGACGAAAGUCUGACCGAGCAACGCCGCGUGAGUGAAGAAGGUUUUCGGAUCGUAAAACUCUGUUGGUAGAGAAGAAAGUUGGUGAGAGUGGAAAGCUCAUCAAGUGACGGUAACUACCCAGAAAGGGACGGCUAACUACGUG
rnacentral:rRNA from 1 species